rnacentral:rRNA from 1 species
AACGAACGCUGGCGGCAUGCCUAACACAUGCAAGUCGAACGAGACCUUCGGGUCUAGUGGCGCACGGGUGCGUAACGCGUGGGAACCUGCCUUAGGUUCGGAAUAACUCCCCGAAAGGGGUGCUAAUACCGGAUAAUGCCUUCGGACCAAAGAUUUAUCGCCUUUGGAUGGGCCCGCGUUGGAUUAGCUAGUUGGUAGGGUAAAAGCCUACCAAGGCGACGAUCCAUAGCUGGUCUGAGAGGAUGAUCAGCCACACUGGGACUGAGACACGGCCCAGACUCCUACGGGAGGCAGCAGUGGGGAAUAUUGGACAAUGGGCGAAAGCCUGAUCCAGCAAUGCCGCGUGAGUGAUGAAGGCCUUAGGGUUGUAAAGCUCUUUUACCCGGGAUGAUAAUGACAGUACCGGGAGAAUAAGCUCCGGCUAACUCCGUG